rnacentral:tRNA from 1 species
CGGGAUGUAGCUCAGCCAGGUUUAGAGUACACGUCUGGGGGGCGUGGAGUCGCGAGUUCGAAUCUCGCCAUCCCGA